CUCUGGUUAACUAGUUCCUUCUGAGGGCAGGCCUUGUUAGGAAGAACAGCGUGCUCUGGUUUACUUCAGAAUGGUUUGUCUUCCCCUCCCCCUGCCCGAAGCAUGAGGGCAUUCUUCUCCAGGGUUUACUGUGGGAGCCUGGCGGAGCUCCUGAGGUAAAUCUCGCAGUGAUGUGGGGGCCCGAAUGACGGGGUUGCCUGGAACCCUGGAAUUCUCAGUCAACACUGAACUUCCAGCAGUUCCUCAGUCACGGUUCAGGUCUCCUACCCCGCACUGGCGAGCCUCUGCUCUCUGUGUCCAUCCGUGUUUCUCUCUGCACUGGCGAGCCUCUGCUCUCUGUGUCUGCCCGUCUGUCUCUCCAGUCUAGGGGGAAGCGGUUUGGAGGGUCCUGCCAUCUCAUAGGCAUCCAAGAAGAGUUGAUUUUUGCUGUCUGUUUAGCUUGAUACUUGUUAGCACAGAGUGGUGCCUUCUAGGCUCCUUACACAUGGAACCGGGAACUGGAAGUCUCAUUAGAUAAUUUUAGAUGAUGCAUCCGGAAAUGUUCAGCUUUUUGCAUUACUGUCAUCAGUCUUGAUCAAUACACAGAAUGUCGCCAAGUUCUCAUAUUUUCCUCCUUAAAAUAACAUGUGGCGUUUUUUUCUCCUUUGCCUUACCCGUCUUACUGGAUGAUCUCUUUGUCCUGUUCUAGAUCACUGUCAUCUUCCUGAAAGAUGAGGAGUAUUACUCCUUGCCUGUCGUCAUCGGAAGCAGUGUUGGUGGCCUUCUGGUUUUGAUUGUGAUUAUAGUCGUCCUAUUCAAGUGUGGCUUUUUUAAAAGAAAAUACCAACAACUGAACUUGGACAGCAUAAGGAAGGCCCAGCUGGAAUCAGAGAAUCUGCGCACAGAAGAACGUUAGGACCAGCUUUCUCAUCCAUUGGGAGACAGUGUCAGCCAGUCCUUGAUCUAGACACGUGGUGUGGUGUUGAUUACUUUUUCCUUUAGGAUCAUCUAGAGCAGAAUCUAACAAAAUGUUUGUGGAAUAUUGAUUUUUAACUAUACGUUGUCCCAAAGGUGUCUGUAUAUUAUGCAAAAAAUAAACUUGGGAAACAUUUGGUGUUAA